rnacentral:rRNA from 1 species
CCUACGGGAGGCAGCAGUAAGGAAUAUUGGUCAAUGGGCGCAAGCCUGAACCAGCCAUGCCGCGUGCAGGAAGACGGCCCUAUGGGUUGUAAACUGCUUUUGAACAAGAGAAAACCUCGGUACGUGUACCGAGCUGAUAGUAUUGUUAGAAUAAGCAUCGGCUAACUUCGUGCCAGCAGCCGCGGUAAGACGAAGGAUGCAAGCGUUAUCCGGAUUCAUUGGGUUUAAAGGGUGCGUAGGCGGCCUGAUAAGUCAGUGGUGAAAUCUCUCAGCUUAACUGAGAAACUGCCAUUGAUACUGUCGGGCUUGAGUACAGAUGAUGUGGGCGGAAUAUGACAUGUAGUGGUGAAAUACUUAGAUAUGUCAUAGAACACCGAUUGCGAAGGCAGCUCACAAAACUGUAACUGACGCUGAGGCACGAAAGUGCGGGGAUCAAACAGGUAUUAGACUACCCUGGUAGUCCGCACCGUAAACGAUGAUUACUCGUUGUUGGACAAUAUGACCGUCAGCGACCAAGCGAAAGCGAUAAGUAAUCCACCUGGGGAGUCGCCGGNAACGGUGAAACCUGAAAGGAUUGACGGNNGAGAGNGCGAGGACGACACGAGGGAGGAG